CGGAGGGAGCUAGCGUUGUUCGGAAUUACUGGGCGUAAAGCGCACGUAGGCGGCUUUGUAAGUUAGAGGUGAAAGCCUGGAGCUUAACUCCAGAACUGCCUUUAAGACUGCAUCGCUUGAAUCCAGGAGAGGUGAGUGGAAUUCCGAGUGUAGAGGUGAAAUUCGUAGAUAUUCGGAAGAACACCAGUGGCGAAGGCGGCUCACUGGACUGGUAUUGACGCUGAGGUGCGAAAGCGUGGGGAGCAAA
rnacentral:rRNA from 1 species